AGCGUAGGUGGCUUGAUAAGUCAGAUGUGAAAUCCCCGGGCUUAACCUGGGAACUGCAUCUGAUACUGUCAGGCUAGAGUAGGUGAGAGGAAGGUAGAAUUCCAGGUGUAGCGGUGAAAUGCGUAGAGAUCUGGAGGAAUACCGAUGGCGAAGGCAGCCUUCUGGCAUCAUACUGACACUGAGGCUCGAAAGCGUGGGUAGCAAACAGGAUUAGAUACCCUGGUAGUCCACGCCGUAAACGAUGUCUACUAGUCGUUGGGUCCCUUGAGGACUUAGUGACGCAGCUAACGCAAUAAGUAGACCGCCUGGGGAGUACGGCCGCAAGGUUAAA
rnacentral:rRNA from 1 species